UACGUAGGGGGCGAGCGUUGUCCGGAUUUAUUGGGCGUAAAGAGCGUGUAGGCGGUUCGGUAAGUCUGUCGUGAAAUCCUGAGGCUCAACCUCGGGCGUGCGAUGGAUACUGCCGGGCUAGAGGGUGGUAGAGGCGAGUGGAAUUCCCGGUGUAGCGGUGAAAUGCGCAGAUAUCGGGAGGAACACCAGUAGCGAAGGCGGCUCGCUGGGCCACACCUGACGCUGAGACGCGAAAGCUAGGGGAGCGAACGGG
rnacentral:rRNA from 1 species